rnacentral:tRNA from 1 species
GGAGAGGUACCGAAGCGGUCAUAACGGGGCGGUCUUGAAAACCGUUAGGGCGCAAGUCCACGUGGGUUCGAAUCCCACCCUCUCCGCCA